rnacentral:rRNA from 1 species
UAGGGAAUAUUAGUAAUGGGCGAAAGCCUGAACUAGCAACGCCGCGUGUGCGAAGAAGGCCUUCGGGUUGUAAAGCACUUUUGAGAGGAUGAGGAAGGACGGUACUCUCAGAAUAAGUCCCGGCUAACUACGUGCCAGCAGCCGCGGUAACACGUAGGAGGCGAACGUUAUCCGGAUUUACUGGGCGUAAAGCGCGUGUAGGUGGUUUGGUAAGUAGGGCGUGAAAGCUCCUGGCUCAACUGGGAGAGGCCGUUCUAAACUGCCGAACUAGAGGAUGGUAGAGGGAGGUGGAAUUCCGGGUGUAGCGGUGGAAUGCGCAGAUAUCCGGAGGAACACCAGUGGCGAAAGCGGCCUCCUGGACCAUUCCUGACACUCAGACGCGAAAGCUAGGGUAGCAAACAG